UACAGAGGUGGCAAGCGUUGUUCGGAAUUACUGGGCGUAAAGGGCGCGUAGGCGGCCUUCUAAGUCAGACGUGAAAUCCCCCGGCUUAACCUGGGAACUGCGUCUGAUACUGGAGGGCUUGAGUGCGGGAGAGGGAUGUGGAAUUCCUGGUGUAGCGGUGAAAUGCGCAGAUAUCAGGAGGAACACCAAUGGCGAAGGCAGCUCGCUGGAACGGAACUGACGCUGAGGCGCGAAAGCGUGGGGAGCGAACAGG
rnacentral:rRNA from 1 species